rnacentral:misc_RNA from 1 species
AAGUCGUAACAAGGUUUCCGUAGGUGAACCUGCGGAAGGAUCAUUAUCGAGUUUGAAAGGGGUUGUAGCUGGCCUUCCGAGGCAUGUGCUCGCCUUGCUCAUCCACUUCACACCUGUGCACCUUUGAAGGCGGCUGCCCUCAGAAGUGGCGAGACUAGUUUCGCUGCCGGGGUAUCCGCCUUUCCUUCACACACCCUUUUAUUGUAAUUGAAUGUCACCUUGCCGUAAAACGCAGUUAAAUACAACUUUCAACAACGGAUCUCUUGGCUCUC